AUUACAGGGUCACCAUUCCCAGCUGGAGUGAUAUCAACAAAUGACUUGGGAUUCAUUCCAGUGGGCAUGAAGGGACCUUUCAUGGACAAACUAGCCCUCCAUGGCACGCUCGCUUAGCGUUCAUGGGUGCUAUGAAAUGUUGGGUCUUUUAUUCUCAAAAUCAAACUUGUAAAAAGGAUUAGGAGAAAAUGUAAGUACGGAGGUCAAGGGUUCAGAGAUGGAUGCUUCUCGUGUUGUUUUAAAAAGGGAUAUGGCUACAUAAAUGUAUCUCGAGAUUGUCAAGAACACAACAGAGUUUUAACAAUAUCCGGGUAGUUGGGGACAGACCAACCAAAAUAGCUUACUUCAUUCCAGGCGAGACUACAUAUCUAGUAGAUCGAUAUGAUCUAUUGUAUAUCAAGAGUUAGUAUGCCUGAGGAGGUGCCAGUCUCUAUUGUGUCAGACCGUGACACUAGGUGCUUGUGCAACAAAGUGGUUCACUUAGUAAAAGUCUCAUGGUAUACCCAUUGUGAUGAAGAGGCAACUGGGAUCGUGAAGAGAUAUGAGAAAUGUCUAUCCCAAGUUCUUCCAAGAGAUGGCAACUUUCGAGGACGAAAGUUUUUAAGGAGGGGAGAAUUUGUAAUACCCGAGCCUCAAUUGAAAGUUUAAAAUCUAAGUUUACCUUAAAAGUCGAUCUCUCUCAAUUUUAGUGAAGGUCUUAAAGACCAAAAUCCGAGAUGAGACGGAAGAGAAAAAUGAUGAGGAAUAAAAGAACUUA